GACGAACGCUGGCGGCGUGCUUAACACAUGCAAGUCGAACGGAAAGGCUCCAGCUUGCUGGAGUACUCGAGUGGCGAACGGGUGAGUAACACGUGGGUAAUCUGCCCUGCACUCUGGGAUAAGCCUGGGAAACUGGGUCUAAUACUGGAUAUGACCUUUCUCCUUAUGGGGUUUGGUGGAAAGUUUUUCGGUGUAGGAUGAGCCCGCGGCCUAUCAGCUUGUUGGUGGGGUGAUGGCCUACCAAGGCGACGACGGGUAGCCGGCCUGAGAGGGUGAUCGGCCACAUGGGGACUGAUAACGGCCCCAGCCCCCGCGGGGGGCAGCGGGGGGGGAAUUUUGAACAGGGGGCGGAAGCUGGAUCCCGCGACCCCGGGUGGGGAAGGACGGCUUUCGGUUUAUAAACCUUUUCCACCGGGAACAAAGCGUAGGGGCGGGUCCCGAAAAAAAAGCACCCGACAACUUUUGGC
rnacentral:rRNA from 1 species